UGGUGUUGUAGAACUUAUGAUCGU
rnacentral:siRNA from 1 species